rnacentral:rRNA from 1 species
CAGCCGUAAACUAUGCGCGUUAGGUGUAUCGGUGACCACGAGUUACCGAGGUGCCGAAGGGAAACCGUGAAACGUGCCGCCUGGGAAGUACGGUCGCAAGGCUGAAACUUAAAGGAAUUGGCGGGGGAGCACCACAACAGGUGGAGCCUGCGGUUUAAUUGGACUCAACGCCGGGAAGCUCACCGGAUAGGACAGCAGAAUGAUUGCCGGGCUGAAGACCCUGCAUGACUAGCUGAGAGGAGGUGGCAUGGCGUAGACGUCU